CCUACGGGCGGCAGCAGUGAGGAAUAUUGGUCAAUGGUCGGGAGACUGAACCAGCCAAGCCGCGUGAGGGAAGAAGGUACAGAGUAUCGUAAACUUCUUUUGUCAGGGAGCAAAUACCGGUACGCGUCUCGGGUUGAGAGUAUCUGACGAAUAAGGAUCGGCUAACUCCGUGCCAGCAGCGGCGGUAAUACGGAGGAUUCAAGCGUUAUCCGGAUUUAUUGGGUUUAAAGGGUGCGUAGGCGGUUCGAUAAGUUAGAGGUGAAAUCCCGGGGCUCAACCCCGGCACUGCCGCUGAUACUGGCGGUCUAGAGUUUAGUUGAGGUAGGCGGAAUGUAUGGUGUAGCGGUGAAAUGCAUAGAGAUCACACAGAACACCGAUUGCGAAGGCAGCUUACCAAACCACGACUGACGUUGAGGCACGAAAGCGUGGGGAGCAAACAGGAUUAGAUACCCUGGUAGUC
rnacentral:rRNA from 1 species